CUCUAUCAACAACUUGGGCUCAAACUCGAAAGUGUUUCCUCUUUUCCUACACUUCAGCUACAGAGGUCAUCGGUUAUUGGUCUCGAAGACUUGAAUUCAGGAUAGAUUCAACUUCUAAAAACUCAGUCUAGUUCUGAGCUUGUCCUUGACCCCAGGUUCCAGUGCCCAGCACUUGAAAAGAUCGAGUGCAAUUCAAUUAUGAAGUCGGUCUGACUUUUUGAAGUGUAAAUCCACUGCACUUGAAAAUGGCAAGUGUAAAAUCCAUUCUUAAAAAGCACUUGACAUUUUCACAUACAGCUUUACAGCCACGGAAAUGUGAGGAGGCUCAAAAGCAAUGGCCGAGAAUGGCUUUAAAAAAAAAAAAAAGAAAGAAAGAAAGAAAGAAAAAAAGAUUCUAAUGCUUGGUCAGGAGCAGAAGUCUGAUUUUUAGCUCUUUGUGUUGACUAGAAAAUUAGAACCUCUUUUAAAGGUGUACUUUGUAAAACUCAUGUUGAUGAGCUGAUUUUUCCUAAUGUUUUAACUGCUGGUUUGUAUGCUUAAUAUCACACACCUUUUCCUUCACAAUAACUUUAUAGAAUGUGGAUCUCACUUUAUCCAUCAAAGCGGCAGGAUGAUUUCAUCCGUGGCAAGAUGGUAUAGCUCUUUAUUUCCUCCUCAGACGGCUCUAAUUCUAGCAGAAACGCUCAGAUGUGAAAAUCUGUCAGGACAGCAACAGGAGAAUACAGACUUUACAACCUUCCCAAAGAAUUCUGCUGACUUUCGCCAGACUCUGGGUACUUCCUACUUCUCCAUGUGACUAUCAUGAACAACAACAACAACAACAAAAAAAAAAAAAAAAAAAAAACCUAUCAGACUCGGGAACUGAUAAAACCAAAAAAAAAAAAAAUUCUCAAAAUGUGAAUUCUGUGACUACAGGGAGAAAAAGAAAAUUGAAAUACAAUAAGUGUAUGUAUGCAUAAUAAAAGCUAAUAUCAGUUAAGGCCCUAGUCUAUGUCCAGCACAUUAACUGCAUAUUCUCAUUGAAUCCUCACACCAACCCUUAGAGAUAGAUGCCAUUAGAGAUGAGGAGACUGG
rnacentral:lncRNA from 12 species